rnacentral:rRNA from 1 species
GGAUUAGAUACCCUGGUAGUCCUAGCUGUAAACGAUGGAUACUAGACGUAGGAACUGGAUUGACGGUUUCUGUGUCGCAGCUAACGCGUUAAGUAUCCCGCCUGGGGAGUACGGUCGCAAGACUAAAACUCAAAGGAAUUGACGGGGACCCGCACAAGCGGUGGAACAUGUGGUUUAAUUCGAUGAUACGCGAAGAACCUUACCAACGUUUGACAUCCUCAUCGCGAUUUCCAGAGAUGGAUUUCUUCAGUUCGGCUGGAUGAGUGACAGGUGCUGCAUGGCUGUCGUCAGCUCGUGCCG